rnacentral:rRNA from 1 species
AACGUACGCUGGCGGCACGCCUAACACAUGCAAGUCGAACGCAGUAGCAAUACUGAGUGGCAGACGGGUGAGUAACAUGUGGGAAUCUGCCUUGUGGUUCAGGACAACAUUGGGAAACCGAUGCUAAUACUGGAUAAGCCCUUACGGGGAAAGUUUUAAUGCCAUAAGAUGAGCCCGCAUUUGAUUAGUUAGUUGGUGAGGUAAUGGCUCACCAAGACAAUGAUCAAUAGCUGAUCUGAGAGGAUGAUCAGCCACACUGGGACUGAGACACGGCCCAGACUCCUACGGGAGGCAGCAGUGGGGAAUCUUGCACAAUGGAGGAAACUCUGAUGCAGCGAUGCCGCGUGAGUGAAGAAGGCCUUUGGGUUGUAAAGCUCUUUUGUAGGGGAAGAUAAUGACUGUACCCUAAGAAUAAGGUCCGGCUAACUUCGUGCC